rnacentral:lncRNA from 1 species
GGUGCUUCCUGCACACCAUGUGCCGCGCUAACCUCUUAAGACAAGGUCAUGCACACAACCUGAGCGCGUGCCUUGCCGCUUGGCUGUGCCAUGACCUUGUAAUGUGCAUGCAACCUGACCUAAAAUAACCUCUAUGACCAAAACGCAUGCCCAUCUCGCACAUAUAUGCAUGACUCACGACCACUAUUCAACACUAUUUAACUUCCAGAAUCAUGACCUAUCUUUCAAAAAUCAUAACUUAAAAUACAUAACUUUUUUUAUAAAACUGCCUUCUACAAAGUUGCUUUAAAUUUUCUUAGCUUUCUUACUUCAAAUUUUCAAAGACAAAUUCCAAGUAAUAAGUCUUGUAGCUUUCUUGAAGUGUGUCUUGCUCAGAUGCACCCGAGAAAUGACCUCGCCUUCCCUUGAUUAAAAUGCAAACUUCCUUUAAUCCAAGAUUAAUGCACAACAAUCCUCUCUUAUAAACUAGACUCAAUUUAUGAACUUUUAAGACCAAUUUGAGUGAUUUUUUAUCAGUAAGUUAUGAGAAUUAAAUACUGAAGUUGGCCUGUUUAUAAAGUCUCUUGCAUGAGAUUAAGGUGACACUUAUCUUUGAUUCGAAUCACCUCUUGAGCAUGUACUUACAUCUUAGCAAGUCCUCCAUGCCCUCUUUGGCCACAAAAUGAAUGAUGAUAUGGUUAAGACAGUUGGACUUACUUUUAGCCGAAUGCCCUCAUCAUGCUACAUCCUGAUGGAAAGCAUACAAACGCAACGGAAAAACGAAUCAAUUUUACUCUAUAUGCAACUAAAUUAUUUAGUGAAAAACAUGCUUGAAAAGCCCUAAUUAAAAAAAAUUAGGGUAAAGAAAAUAUACCUUUGAUGCUUUAAUUCUCAAUAUCUCCUCACGUACUAAAACCAGGACAACCAGUACUGGAAUUGAUCUGCUAAUCUCCAGGCUUAGAACUGGAUCGUGGGACCAAAUUAGUUGAAGGGUCUAAGGGAGAUGUAUGGAAAUUUGAAGGUAAAAGUUUGGUUGAAAUUUUGGAGAGUAAUGAUUUUGUAAUUUCCAAAAUUACUAGAAAAUGGCAAAACUUUUUAAUGAAAAAGAAAACAACUCUACUUAUAACCUAAUUACAUGCAAAAUUGUUAGUGGAACUUAGUGGGAUAGGUGUCUACGUCUAAUGUAGCCACAUAUCCCACUGAGUGUUAAUGGGAUUAUCCAACAAAAUGUUGGAUUUUUCCACUAACUUAGUCCAAGAGUAAAAUGGUCAUUUGACCUUUCAAGUCAAAAGUCAAAAGUCUAUAUUUUGACUUUUUACCAUUUUGUCUAUCUUGUCUAAUUUCGACCUUCCGAGCAUGAAUCCAUAUUUUUUUCCAAAAGUCAAAUAACAUUUGUAUAUAAGACCGGUCAAAGUUUGACUUUUCAAAGUAAAAAAGUCAACAUUUUGACUUUUUACAACUUUGACCAUUUCCAUCAAUUUUGAGCUUUCUAGUAUGAAUCUGUAUUCAUAUUUAUAGUAUUUAAAUCCCAUUUAACAUAAAGCUCUAUUUUUAAUCUAAAAUCCAACACCUAUAUCAUAUAUACUUGUCAAUUUCUCUCUCUUCUCCCAAUUCGAACAAUUUGACUUAUUCCAUAUGAGUUAGCAGAGGAACCUAAUAGAGCUAUAGAUCAUGGGCUCCAACGAUUCAAGAUUAACUGGUUAAAAUCUUUUAGACCGAGUUAAUCAACAUUCGUUAACUAAUGGGUCAUUCCACUAAAGUCUCGCAGUUGCACUCCUCUCACUAUAGAUAUAUUUGUGUCCAUUUAAUAAAACCAUGAUCAGUAAGUUAAUCCUUCACAGGUUGUUUGUAACCUCGGCUUGGUCAAAAUACCGUUUUACCUCUGAGACUACAUUUUGCCCCUUAAGUCACACUAAUCCACUAUUGAACAAUCGACUUAAGGUCCAACCUAUAAACUUAAUCCCUCUUGGGCUAAUGAGAAUGUGGGGCCCCUUAUUCAAGACUUGGAUUCAGUGCUUAAGAGAACAUCCUAUCUACUAACCUUAUGUUUCCAGCUAUCCACCUGAUCUUACCCUUGAAAUGGGAGGCUCAUUGGGCCAACGUUGAUGAGCUGCCCUCGCCUAUUCAGAUCAAAGGAUAAUCUCAUGUGAACAGGAGUUCAUAGUUAGCUCAGGAUUAAAAUUAAGUUACCUAGGUCAUCAAUAAUCAAGACAGUCAGUUUUAAAUAGUAAUAACGUAAAAGUGACUAUUUCAUGGUUCAGUCUUAUGUAAAUACUCUACAUAGGAUGCCCCCACUUUCAUGUCUCCACAUGAACGAUUCAGGAUCACCUCGUUUGUACUUACUACAAAGCGGGGCCGCAUCCAUAGUUUCUCUAAAGAAGACGCCCAUCCAUUAUUCAUAUACUAUAGACUAUUUAGGUUAUAUACUCAAAUUUGAUCCACAUUUAUGACUCCACAUAAAGUUCAAGUUUACUCAAAAAAUAGCCUCGAGACUUAGUUUAUUGGAUUUAAGAUUAUAAUAUUCAAUUUCUCAAUAAUGACUUUAUUGAACAGAAUAUGAUUACAAACUACGAGUUUUAGGACAUAAAAUUUCAACACAUACUUCAUCCAAUCGCAUGGCUAACCUCCUUGGCCGUCAUCGCAUAGCUUGAUCGCCCAACACCUUCCUCGCCUAGCUUUGCUUCCUCGCCCUACAAGCCUCAUGCUAACCUCUAAACGGCUAGCCAAACACCUAGCUAAUGUCUUCCUCGUGUCAAGCCUUCCUCGCGUGGACCUUUUCUUGGUAAACUAACCUCUAAUGUCUUCUCGUCCAGAAUGCUUCUCGCCUAACCCCUCCAUGCAAUGCCACAAGCAUUCCUCACCCAAGCUUGCUUUCUCGCCUAGCCCAAGCCUAGAUAACCUCUUUGGAGGUUAUCUUUUCUUCUUGGCCGCAUGACCUUUACACCAAACGCCAAAGAAUGACCAACCACUUAUGCUUAAGAGAAUUUUAAGCUUCAUCUUGUCACCCAAUGUCACUUCUUUGGAGGUUUUGUAGCAUUCUUUUGCCGUCCACAUAACCUCCAAACAUCCAAAAACCAAAUCUUGACACUUUGCCAAAAUUUUUAACUUUUCUCUUAUUCUAAAUUCUAAUUCUAAAUUCCAAGUAAUUUUUUUUUUUAACUUUCUUUUCUCAUAAAUUUCAUUUUCAGUUGACAUUGACUAAUCUUAUCUAGUUCCAAGGAUUUAAGAAAUCUUAGGAUUUCAUAGACAUGACUAAUAUGCGUAAGGGAAAGUCCUCUCCUUUUACGAGAUAACUUAAUUCCAUCAUUUGGAUCUCGAGAGGUGAACAAGUAUGGAUACUAGGCACCAAGAGGUUGUUGUCCGUAAUUGUGAAGCUCUAUACGUCUUAUAAGUGAAAUCUUCGAGAUAUAGCUCUUCCAAUCACACUUAAUCAUAUGGAUCUUGAGAGGUGACCAUGUGUGACGUUUAAUUACUCUGAGAGGAGCACACCUUAAUUAUAAGUUGGUUGAGCGAGUUUUAUUGCAUCAAGGUUGUUGUGUUACUUAAUUGAAUUACAAUGCAUAUACAUUCAUUCGCUUUUUUCGCAUACAAGUUAGUUCACAUUCUCAUCUCACCAUCCAUAUUUCACUUUACAGACUCUCUAGGCGUAGACAUUUAGCGAUAGUUUGUUCUUGCAUUUAUUUUACACAAUUUGUUUUUCUUUAAUUCUUUUAUAUGACCUAGAUGAUAAGUAAACCCUAGAGCUAAUACCUUGAAUCAAUUUCCUGUGUUCGACCCUAGAUCACUUAGGUAAAUCUAUUGCUUUGCUUGCACUUGGACAAGUAGUAGGAAAACUUAUACUAAAUGCGAAUUUUAGCAAAAGCUAUUGUAGAGAGCAAGAGCUUCCCCUCGAUUCCUUUCUUUGUUUUAGGUGAGAGUCUAAAAAAGAGAGUCAUCAAUUUCCCCCCGUGUAAAGGCAAAAAUCAGAGCUAAAGAGUAUGAGCACUCAUUCUCCACGACUUGUCUCCUUUUCUGUGUUCCAUUUGCAUAUUUCAUUAACACCAAGUUGUAAUAUUGACUCCACGACUGAGAGACCUAAAAUUUUAUUUAUGAUAUUUAUGUUUUGCUUCUAUCACUCUCCUAUAUUUCCUUAUAUGUUCAUCUGUUGCACGUUUAGUUAAUUGUUUGCAUAAUGUAGGGUAUUUUAACACUAGAAACUUUGUUUGAAUGCAUGGUAAGUUAUGCUUAGCUAAAUACGACCAUCAAUAUCUUAUCUCAUUGGAGAGAAAAGAUAAAGUAUUAAUAGUUAUCACUUGACACGUGAUGACCCCUAUUUUAUUAACCAUACGACAAUGAGAUUGUGGCAAUACAAUCUUGUCACCCAAUUUAUGCCUUGCAUAUAUGAUAGAAAUGCAGGAUAUGUGUGUCAAAAGCAAUGAGAGGUUGCUUUCCUUAAUAAGGACAAAUUUCUUAUAGUUCAAACAAACACAUGAGAUACAAAUCAUAAAUUAACUUUAAAUAAUUAAGUCCCGAGAGGUGAGCAAGUAUGAUAAAGGCUUCUAGAGGUUGCUCGCCUUAAUUAAACAUUUAGUUAACAACAUAUGUUAAAAUCCCUUGUUUUACAUUUAGUUAGUUAAAUAUUUUGACAUGUCCACACGCCUAAACAACCAAGUUCAUGUUUCAUUACAUUUCACCUCUACAUCCAUCUUGCUGCUUUUAUUCGCACUAUAGUUAAAUAAUUAGGAAAACCAUAUUGCACAUACAUUUAUAUUGUAUACUUAAGUGCAUAUGAUUUAAGACGUGAGAUAGAUUCAUGUAAGAAGCUAAUUUCCUGUGUUCGACCCUGGACUUACCAGGAAACCUCUUUCGCCGCUUGCACUUGGGUGAGAAAGAGGAAAACUUGUCCUAAUGUUCAUCAUCAUGCAUUUAGCAACACAUAGGUAGGAUAUGCACCUUUUAUCGCAUAACCCUAACCUAGACACAAUCUUAAUCACAUUAUUAGAGCUUUGCACGAAAUAUCCACGAAUGAUCUUUGCACAUAACGCACACCACAUAAUAAACAAACCCAACAAGUACUACUUGAGGCUUCUCUCUCUAAUCUCUAUUUAACCUCUCACAAAGAAUUUGAUUUGAGAAGAGAUGAAAAAGGAUAAACUUCUAUAUAGUGUGGGCACUUAGUAUGUACUUCUAUAUGUGUAUCUAUCUAUAUCUCCCACUAAUAGAAUAGAAGGGUAUUCAUAGGCAUGGUUAGGCGGGAACUACCCAGGCUCUACUGCUCAAAUUGUCCUUAUCCUCUAAACAUGUCAAGGUCGAUGCCAAUCUCGACAAGUCCCAUCAACUCCACUGUCCACUUUUUUCUUCUAGCGAAUCAGCACAUGUUAUGAGAUUGUUGUCAAAAUGCCUCUCGAUUUAGAUCGCCUGACAUCUUCUCAUCACCCAAUUUAUUGACGCAUUCCUU